rnacentral:misc_RNA from 1 species
GACCUGUUCGAGCCAGGCCUGGGAACCAUCAAGGGGCCACCGGUUCAAGGAGACUCCUGGGACCUUGGAGCACCGGUGUGGGUCCGCAACUUCGGCCAAGGUGAAAGAUGGUCACCGGGGACCGUCCAGAACAAGCUCGGGUCAAGGAUGCUGGUCAUCGAGACUCCGGAGGGAACAGUCCGUCGACACAUGGACCAGGUCCGCGGCAGACAAGGUCCGACUGAAAGUCUGGGUGGCCCUAAAAACGGUUCGGACAACGUCGGGCCGCCAGUGACACUAGGACAGCCGGACAGCCAGGGGCCACCGAGCGAGCAAGACGCGCCAGCCCCCGACGGUCAAGACCAACCAGCCUUACGACGCUCAACGCGGACACGGAAACCGAUCGAUCGUUUGCAAUAUUAAGAGGAGAAGAAAUGUUGCAUUGUCAUUGUUUACAUCCUAUCUAUUCGCUGUUAUCAAGCCGAUAG